rnacentral:lncRNA from 1 species
GAUUUACGAGUUAAGCUUUUAUAUUAAUUUCUGAGUUAUUUGUUUGUCUUUUUACCGAUAAAAUUUUACGAUCUGCUAGUUUAGUUGUUGAUUAACGAGUUAGGGUUUGUGGGUUAAGGUUCUAUUCAAAUUUUUGAGUUAUUGAUUUGUCUUUUUACCGAUAAAAUUUUAUCUAUUAGUUUAGUUGUUGAUUUACGAGUUAGGAUUUUAUUCAAAAUUCUGAGUAAUUGAUUUGCCUUUUUAACAAUAAAAUCUUACCAUCUGUUAGUUUGGUUAUUAAUUUACGAGUUAGGGUUUGUGGAUUAAAGUUUUAUUCAAAUUUCUGAGUUAUUGGUUUGCUUUCUUACGAGUUAAGGUUUGUGGGUAGGUUUUAGGGUAUUGUAUAAUUUUGGAG